rnacentral:rRNA from 3 species
CUGAGAGUUUGAUUCUGGCUCAGAACGAACGCUGGCGG